GAAAAAUGUUCAAGUGACUGGUGGUUCUUUAUGGAUAACAUAGAAACAUAGAAUGUGACGGCAGAUAAGAACCAUUCGGGCCAUCUAGUCUGCCCCAAAAUAAAACAAAACAAAAAAACACAAUGAAUGUUUUCUAAGUAAAACACAUCCAGACAAGUGCCUUAUUGUAACUUGACAAUUUAUCGUCAAAAUAUAGUUCAAAU